UGAAAAGAGCGAAAAUUUUCUCGGCCCAUAUCGAAGAACCCAUGUUGAAUUAAACUCAGACCCCAAGAAUUUCGGGCCCUAAAUACAAGGAAUCAGCCUUCAUCGAUCACGUUAUCGGUAAGAUCUUCAGGUGUAGAGAAUUAAAACAGAGAAUUCCACGUUUUCACUUGACUUUCAAAAAUGAAUGCACAAAUCGCGCGCUAGAUGAUCACCCAAAAGCUCCGUUCCCACCAAGCCCUCGACUCAUCUUUUUCUUUCUUUUUGGUUUUUUCUUCAUGUGAUCGUACAAAUCGAGCCAGUAAUUCUAGAACUGGAACUCUCUAUUUUUGUGCCUGUUUUUUCUUCACUCAUAGUGCUCGAAUUGCAUAUUUAAGCUGUAGUUACUGCCAAAUUUCAAUAUGCGAGCAAAAUGACAGAGACAGCAGGCAAUGGUCUUGCAGACGGCAUGGUUGCUUAUUCCAAGGAUUAACAGGGUUAUCGUUGAUGGUUUUUUAAAAGUGUACAGAUGGGAUUCAAUAUGAUAAUUAUGCUGCCCAAUCCAACUUUAUCAGUAUACCAAAUGGUUUCAUGCAAGUGUGGUGUUCAAUGCCUUAUGACUGUUCAAUGCAUGUACAUGAGACUGUGCAGUGUGCCCUUCGAAUCUUGAUGCAACUAGUCAUGCUGCACAUACCCGUUAUGGGCAAUGUAUUGAACAGAGAGGUUUUUCUAUAUUCUUUGGGCAAAAGCAAUGGAGUCAGGAGAUAAGGCAUUCAAGCAGCUGAUGGCAGGUAAUCUUUCCUUUCUGCUUUAAAUCUGUUGAGUUUACAGUGUCUAUUCCUUAAGCAAGCGAAUUGAUGAGAAAUCGAGUAUGAGGAGUUUGACCCGGGAAGAAUGGUAGCAUUAUCUUUGACUGAAGUAGGGCCAGCAUAUUUAGAUACCGUAUGGAAAAGACAUCAUUAGAAUAUUAGGAUUCUAGUCCACCGCCUUUUCACUGUUCCUGUUAUCUUCCUUCUUGGAAUGUCAAACGGCAAUGUCUCAUAUUAGGGAUCUACCUAAGCUAUCCCUACCUCCUUCCUUUCAAUCUUUAUCUCAACCAAGACACAAAACUGUUAUGCUGAGCGUCAUAUCAACCUGCUUGUGGUUUGUAGCAUUACCGAGGUCAUAAUUCCAAAUACAAAAAUUCUUCUCUCAAAAACCAAUCAA